rnacentral:rRNA from 1 species
GAUUAAGUUAUUAAGGGCGCACGGUGGAUGCCUUGGCACUAGAAGCCGAUGAAGGACGUUACUAACGACGAUAUGCUUUGGGGAGCUGUAAGUAAGCUUUGAUCCAGAGAUUUCCGAAUGGGGAAACCCAGCAUGAGUUAUGUCAUGUUAUCGAUAUGUGAAUACAUAGCAUAUCAGAAGGCACACCCGGAGAACUGAAACAUCUUAGUACCCGGAGGAAGAGAAAGAAAAUUCGAUUCCCUUAGUAGCGGCGAGCGAAACGGGAAGAGCCCAAACCAACAAGCUUGCUUGUUGGGGUUGUAGGACACUCUAUACGGAGUUACAAAGGACGACAUUAGACGAAUCAUCUGGAAAGAUGAAUCAAAGAAGGUAAUAAUCCUGUAGUCGAAAAUGUUGUCUCUCUUGAGUGGAUCCUGAGUACGACGGAGCACGUGAAAUUCCGUCGGAAUCUGGGAGGACCAUCUCCUAAGGCUAAAUACUCUCUAGUGACCGAUAGUGAACCAGUACCGUGAGGGAAAGGUGAAAAGCACCCCGGAAGGGGAGUGAAAUAGAACCUGAAACCGUGUGCUUACAAGUAGUCAGAGCCCGUUAAUGGGUGAUGGCGUGCCUUUUGUAGAAUGAACCGGCGAGUUACGAUUUGAUGCAAGGUUAAGCAGUAAAUGUGGAGCCGUAGCGAAAGCGAGUCUGAAUAGGGCGUUUAGUAUUUGGUCGUAGACCCGAAACCAGGUGAUCUACCCUUGGUCAGGUUGAAGUUCAGGUAACACUGAAUGGAGGACCGAACCGACUUACGUUGAAAAGUGAGCGGAUGAACUGAGGGUAGCGGAGAAAUUCCAAUCGAACCUGGAGAUAGCUGGUUCUCUCCGAAAUAGCUUUAGGGCUAGCCUCAAGUGAUGAUUAUUGGAGGUAGAGCACUGUUUGGACGAGGGGCCCCUCUCGGGUUACCGAAUUCAGACAAACUCCGAAUGCCAAUUAAUUUAACUUGGGAGUCAGAACAUGGGUGAUAAGGUCCGUGUUCGAAAGGGAAACAGCCCAGACCACCAGCUAAGGUCCCAAAAUAUAUGUUAAGUGGAAAAGGAUGUGGCGUUGCCCAGACAACUAGGAUGUUGGCUUAGAAGCAGCCAUCAUUUAAAGAGUGCGUAAUAGCUCACUAGUCGAGUGACACUGCGCCGAAAAUGUACCGGGGCUAAACAUAUUACCGAAGCUGUGGAUUGUCCUUUGGACAAUGGUAGGAGAGCGUUCUAAGGGCGUUGAAGCAUGAUCGUAAGGACAUGUGGAGCGCUUAGAAGUGAGAAUGCCGGUGUGAGUAGCGAAAGACGGGUGAGAAUCCCGUCCACCGAUUGACUAAGGUUUCCAGAGGAAGGCUCGUCCGCUCUGGGUUAGUCGGGUCCUAAGCUGAGGCCGACAGGCGUAGGCGAUGGAUAACAGGUUGAUAUUCCUGUACCACCUAUAAUCGUUUUAAUCGAUGGGGGGACGCAGUAGGAUAGGCGAAGCGUGCGAUUGGAUUGCACGUCUAAGCAGUAAGGCUGAGUAUUAGGCAAAUCCGGUACUCGUUAAGGCUGAGCUGUGAUGGGGAGAAGACAUUGUGUCUUCGAGUCGUUGAUUUCACACUGCCGAGAAAAGCCUCUAGAUAGAAAAUAGGUGCCCGUACCGCAAACCGACACAGGUAGUCAAGAUGAGAAUUCUAAGGUGAGCGAGCGAACUCUCGUUAAGGAACUCGGCAAAAUGACCCCGUAACUUCGGGAGAAGGGGUGCUCUUUAGGGUUAACGCCCAGAAGAGCCGCAGUGAAUAGGCCCAAGCGACUGUUUAUCAAAAACACAGGUCUCUGCUAAACCGUAAGGUGAUGUAUAGGGGCUGACGCCUGCCCGGUGCUGGAAGGUUAAGAGGAGUGGUUAGCUUCUGCGAAGCUACGAAUCGAAGCCCCAGUAAACGGCGGCCGUAACUAUAACGGUCCUAAGGUAGCGA